rnacentral:rRNA from 1 species
AUUGAACGCUGGCGGCAGGCCUAACACAUGCAAGUCGAGCGAGCGGCGGACGGGUGAGUAAUGUAUGGGGACUGCCCGUUAGAGGGGGAUAACUACUGGAAACUGUGUCUUAUACCGCAUACUAUCGGAUAACCCAUAUGGGAUUGGCGAGUUGGGGGGGUAAAGGCUCACUUAGGCGACGAUCUCUAGCUGGUCUGAGAGGAUGAUCAGCCACACUGGAACUGAGACACGGCCCAGACUCCAACGGAGGCAGCAGUGGGGAAUAUUGGACAAUGGGCGCAAGCCUGAUGCAGCCAGGCCGCGUGUAUGAAGAAGGCCUUAGGGUUGUAAAGUACUUUCAGCGGGGAGGCGUUACCCGCAGAAGAAGCACCGGCUAACUCCGUGCCAGCAGCCGCGGUAAUAC